GCUCCAGGCCACUGCCCGCUCUGCCCACCAUCCCCAGGGAGGCGGCUGCCCCCGUCCUCAGGGCUCAUGCAGCAGGGCCCGGGGACCAAUCCAGGUUGUGAGGGACCCUGGACAGAGGUAGGAGACCGGACUCUGUCCCAGCUCGGCCACGGCCUGGCUGCAUCACCCACUUUUACACCACAGCAAUCCCUGUCCUCUGCCUUUUCCCUAACCAGUAAGCCAGUGAGGGCCUGCCCGGGAACAAGAAGAGAAAAUGACUCCCCUCAGCCUCUGGCCAUGGCCCAUGAGGUGGGACUGAGUCAGAAGGACCUGACCGAGGGUCCCCAGGGUGGGCGGGGCACCCUGCAGAGGCAGUUCCUCCACCCCUGCUGCUGGGAGAAACGGACUUCGGGACACACCAACCCCGAGUGCAAGGCCCCGGUUAGGAGCUCACGCGGAGCUGCAGGAGGAGUGAAUAGGCCAUUCUCAGCCCUGGGUCUGCAGAGCCUGGCCGGGGAGGCCCCGAACACUGAGUGAACUGUCCACGUUCUCAGAAGCCCGCCCCCAGAGGCCCCUCUUGCUGGCCACACUGCCUGACCCUGGCCACUGUCUCUACAGCAUAGGCCUCAUCUGCCCAGCCGUCCACUCUGCCAGGACUGGGACCCGCAACCAUCACAGUGCACCGUCCAGGAUGGCCAUCGGCACAGAGCACAGCAGCUCUGCCACCUGGCCAGACCCAUGCUGAGGGCCUCCCUUCCUGGAUUCUCUCUGAAGCCUCCCACCGCCCCUCAGGGCAGCCCCUAUGACUACCCUCCUUUUACUGAGACUCAGAAAGGCUAGGCAACCUGCCAAGGUCACACAGCUGGGAAGUGGCAGCACCAGAAAGGCACCCGGAAAUCCAGACACGAAGUCUGCAUCCCCUGACCGCCACCACGUCCUACGUGCCUUGUCCAGGGCCCUGCCAGGCCUGGCACGGGCCGGAUGGAGAACUUUCCAGGGGACAGCCUCUGACAUGGGCAGGCGGGUAGCCGCCCCAGUCUCUAGUUUUCUCAUCUCCUCUGGGGGACCUGCCUCCAUUAUCCCACGGAUGGGCAGGCACUACAGACCCCUCCCCAACAGAGAAGGAAAGGGGGCCCAGGGAGGGACCGUGGUCCAGUAUGAUGCUAGCAGUGACCGCACCAGAUCCCAGAGCUGGGACCUUGGGCAGGCCCCGGAGACUCUCUGGUCCUCAGUUUCCUCCUCAGUAAAACGAGGCUGAGGCCAUUCCAUCCCUAACCCAGCACGCGAUCCCCCAGCUGUCUGCCAGAGACAUUGGACUCCACCCUCCCGCCCUACUCGGAUUCAGCAAUCUCUCCACCGUAAACAGGAAGGGCAGGACAGAGCUGCAGAGGGCAAUCGGAGGAAGCUGCCCCGGCCUGGGGAGGCCUGCCCAAACCCAAGCUCAAGGGGGACCAACCUCUGGGGCGCCCCCUGGGGCCAGGAAGGAGAAGAUAGAGCAAAAGGACUCUCAAGUCACUGCCAGCUGGGUUCGAAUCCCACCUCGGCCAAUGCCUGGCUGUGCGAGACUGGGUGGCAUGCGGCCCACUUCUUGAAUCAGGGAAUAAAGCCGGUUCGAUCUUUCAGUUUACCCAGUUGAAUUUCUGUUCGUCAGCAGAGCGAUGGGAGAAGGAGGCAGUAACCUGGACAAUCUUCACGUGCAGUGCCCUCAGCAGAAGAGAAUGCAUCCCGCGGAAAGGAAGCCGUCUCUGCCCGCCGUGGACAGCUGCCUCCACACGGUGCUCUCAAUUAACCCUAGGACGGACAGCUGCCGUGGCUUCGAAGUUGCCGUCCCAUCGAAAUCUCAGUGCUUGCCCAGCUUCAGUCGUCGUCUGUCUCCUCGUAAUUCUUCCCAUCCCACACCCACCUGCACUCUUUGUCUUACAGUUCCAUUCGAAUUAAGUUGAUUGAUUUUCCCUACUUAAUUUCAUUGCAGGUAGUAAAUGCUGCACACCAAGUCUGAUGGGCUACCGUCUUUUUUCUGGCACGCAUUAAAAGAAACAUGCGUAUUAGUUAUCUAGUGCUGCGUAACAAAUAGCCUGCAGUCUUCAUGGGUUCUUACCACGUUUAUUAUCUGCCAGCUUUUCUUAGACUGGAUGUGGCUCAGCCGGACGCCUCUGGCUGUGGGUCUCUCCCAGGCUGCAGUCAAGGUGUCGGCUGGGGCUGCAGCCGUCUCCAGGCUCGUCGUGGGUCCAGGCUUACUCAGCGGCCGUUGGCUGGAUUCAGUUCCUCAUGGGGUGUUGGAAUGAGGGCUGCAGUUCACCCAAGUCUGUCGUCUGGGGAUGGCCCUCAGCUCCCUGCCCCGUGGGCCUCUCUGUAGGGCAGCUCAUGACACAGCAGCCGGCUUCAUCAGAAGGAGCGAGCACAAAGAGCCAGAGAGAGAGAACGAACAUACUGGAAGUCACAGUUCUUCAAAACCUCAUCUCGGAAGGGACCUCCCGUCACUCUUGCUGUGUUCCGUCCAUGAGAGGCUGGUCACCAGGUCCAGCCCCGGCGGGAUGAGGGCGGUCAGCAGACCUGGGGAAGGCCACGCUGGGCCCGGCAUGGCUAGCAUCGCCAUGCACCGCCACAAAGCAGCGGCUUCCUCCUGUGAGGGAGGCCAGCCCUGGGGAAGCAUCGGGCAAAGUCAGAGCCCGCGGUUUGCAAAGAAGAGGAGAAAGGGGGUCUUUGGCGAGGAACUCCGUUCCUUGCCCUGCCCCCAGGCGAGAAGACAAACUGAGAUUCAACAGGGGACAGUGUCCUCCUCUCUCCCGCCACCACCCCCCAACACAGAGUGUCUGUGUUGGAGGAAUCCACCACCACCACACAGCUGCAAUCGCCGUGUUGGUUCUGUUGCCUGUAUCCCUCGGAACCUGCAGUGUAGACAGGCGUCCUCUUGGUGGGGACACUGACUAUGGCUCAGCCUGAAGAUCAUUUCGUGUCCUACUAGGGCCACUGUUGGAGUACUGUCCCAUCAACGGAGAGCUUUUUCUCCCAAGACACCCACCCUUGUCUGGAGGUUGUACCAGACUUGCUUUGCAUGUCAGAAAUGCCCCCUCGGUCCCAAACACGUUCCUUGAGCUGUGUUACUGUGGGCAACAUGCCAACCACCUCUCUGUUUCGUUCCCACCUGGAACCCUCCUGGUGAGGCCGAGGGGUGUAAGGGAGACUCGGAGAGGAGCCUAAACAUCCUCGCAGCCUGGGGGGCACCAGCCGUCAUCACAGGUGGAGCAUCCUGGGCAUCUGGGCGCUUCUUGGUCACAGUCAUUUCCUUCCUGGAUGCACUGGGCCAACUGCCCCCCUCAGGCUGGGUUUCCUCUGUUUAGCUGCAAGAGCAGCGAGCAUGUGCCCACGGAGGUCUUUCUAAACGCAGCUUCAUGGUUUUUAUUCAUUCCUUCCCUCACUCAUCCAGGCAUCUAUUGAGUGCCUACUGUAUACCAGGAACAGUCACAGGCACUAUGGACUCAUACUAAAGGUGCUCAUUGCAACAGUUUCAAAUGAUUUCUGAAAGCAUGUGGAAAAAAGCAAAAAUGCCCAGGCCUCAGGGUAGCGUGGGCGAAGCGUGGGCCCCAAGUCACCGAGAUCUGAAUUCGCAUCGGUCCCCACCUCCGUGCUCGUGAGCUCCGGCAGCCUGGCACCUCGCUGGGCCUCGGUGGCUGCCUCCGUAAAGUGGGGAUAAUGACAGUGGCGACUCCUAGGUUUGCAGCGAGAAGAGACACAGGAUGGGGCCUCAGUGCUUGUGCCCCCUUCCUUCCACCCACUUCCUUCUACAGCAUCUCUGGGAGAAGCAUGAGGCCGUGAUUUAAGAUCACCAGGAAUUCUCAAAUCUCUUGUCUCACGUCAGUCUCGAAACUACCACCCAGGGCAGCACGGCGAUUAUCCUCCUGUUGCGCUGGGGGAAACUGAGACACAGAGAGGGACGUGCUUUGUCUGCGGUCACACAGCGAGUGAAGGGGACAGCGGACACCACGCCUGGCCCGAGAUGGGAAGAGGAGCUCAUCGGCUGGGCACAGGGCCACGAGCAGGGGCGAUGGUGCAGAGACCUUCUCAUCCGUGCCCUGGGGACCAACCUCUGGGAAAACCAAAUGCUUCCCAGGCCGGCUCAGGCUGCACUUGCUAUUUUGAGUUCUCUAACACAUGACACAGGCAACAGGAAUCUGGGGGGACCCGGAUCACUUGUCGUGUUGGCAAUGGACCUGCUUGUGGUGGUGGCCAAGGGAGGGGCUGGGGGUGGUGAGGGUCGGCAGGGCAGGGGCGGGAGAGCAGAAGGCUGAAGGCGGAGCCGGGAGGCCCGUGGGGCAGGGGUGCGGCAAUGGGGAGAAGGCCCAUGGGGAGCCUGGAGGGAGGGCCUGCGGAAGGCAAGGGGUCGAGUGGGGCCUGACAGGAAGGCUGGCCGGCCGGUGUGGCAUGUGGGGCCUUGCCCAGCACAAACGUGCCUUCCUAGGCCCGGAGCCCCAGACGCAGAGCCUGAGAGAGGGUGCGAGCAGUUUGCUUGGAGGUGAUCUCGAGAAGUGGGUCAUGGCGGCAGGGGGGAGCGGAAAGUGGUAGAAGGUGUGUUAUCAGCUGGCGGCAACGGGGCUCCUUCCCCGUGAGGCCCCCUGGGAGACAACAUAGAAGGAGCCUUAGGGUGUUCCUGCCUGGGGACGAGGAAGCUGGGUGUCCCCAACUCCCCUGUGACACUGGCCCUCAGCUGGGCCACUCCUAGGGCCCAGAUCUCCCCACGGGGAGGCACAGGUGCUGGCAGGAGGGUGCCAUGGGCCUGGCCGGGAGCGGUGAGCGCCGGGACGCCAACAACGGGCACCAAUAGCAUCCGAGGCAAGGAGGGAGCACGGAGGCCAUCCCGCAUGCACCUGUUCACCGAGCAUCCCAGUGUGCCCAUCUCAUCAGGGAGACGGAGGAUGAGAAGAGCACGCGGAGAGAUGGUCAGCAGCGCGGGAUUCGUGCCAGGAAGGGAUGGAGGACGGAUAAACAACAUGUGGCGUAUCCACACGACGGGGUUUGAUGCAGCCAUAAAGAGCAAUCGAGCACUGAGUGUUGAAAAUAGUGAGACUGAGCGCAAGACGCCAGAUGCAAAAGGCCACAUAGCGUGUGAUUCCGUUCCCGUGAGGUGUCCCAGGCAGGCAAAUCCGCAGAGACAGGAAGCAGGGCGGAGGAGAAGCCCCUACCUGACUCAGAUGGCUAAUGGACCAGGGGAGCCCCUCAGAGAGCCAGCGACAUCCCCGCAGCUGGAACCGGGAAGCCACUCAGAGAACGAUGCCAAGGGAACUUCCGCUCCCCUUCAGAGCUGACUGAGCGUGCCACCCUGGGGACAUUCGUCCUGCUUCAAGCAUCUCCUGUGUGCCAGCUCCUCGCCGGGUAUCAGGGUCAGUGCAGGAUCAGCCAUGGUGCAUCCCUGGGGGAGCGCAGACCACCACACGGCAGUGACACCUAGACUGCAUGUUCCCAAAGGACAGGAGCCAGGACUGUCUCAUUCACCCCCAGGGACUCACCUGAAGAGGCCGGAGGCUGAACUCGUAGUCAGUGCUCAACAAACGUUUGUUGAAUGACUGACUGAGCCACGCAUGUUGAAUGGAAGCAGCACAGUGGUGGUGGCCCUUAGGAAGGAGCAACAAACCGAGCUUGGGUGGGGAGUGAGCUUCAGGGGGAGGCUUCCUGGAGGAGGUGACAUUUGAGCUGGCCCUAAAGAGUGCGUAGGAGUUUUCCAAAGAACAGCAGGUCGAGAGAACCACAUAAGCACAGAUCCAGAGGUGAGAAAGGGCCCGUACCAACCAGGGGACUGAGCAGUCCGUGCCUGGGGUGGGGUUGGAAAGUUGAGGACUCCUCCAGGAGGGGCGUGGCACUAGGGUCCCUCUGCCAGGAGCCCCCGCAGGCUGGGCCGAGGUGGGAUAGGCCAGCAGCUCCUUAACGGUUAGAUCCUUCUGACUGUGCCAGCUUCCGGCUUGGCUGCGGGUCCCCCUGCUCAUUCCUGAAGCUUCUGUUGCGGUCAAGGCUGCAGAUACCGUGGCCAAGGACAGGGGCCAGGGAGCUCUGCGUUUGUGCUGGAAGGGACUUUGGUGCAGUUCGGAACCCAGAGGACAUCACUCACCCGGGUGACGGCUCUCCCCACCUCAGGGAGAGACCUCGGCCCAGCCCACACUUUGCAGACCGCCCUGCAGGGGAUCCCACUGCAGAAAGAGGCCUCAGAGCGGGACUCGGGGCUCAGCAAACAGCAUGAGCUGGCAUGCAGCCCCUCCUCGCCCUCUCAGCCAGGGGCACUGGAGGAGUGCGCAACCCAGCGACAGUACAGGUCGCCCUGCUUGCAUCGCAGGGCCUUUGCAAUCUGGCAACAGGAAAGGCCCAAAUCCCCACGCGUGGCAUGCUCUGCUCUAUGGCACUGCUGGUUUCUGCUGCAGGAUGGCCCACCCCGAGCUGUCAUCAACCCUUGGACUUUCAGGACAGAUGUUUCCGCCACUAUUUAGUCAGUGGGCUUGAAGGUAAUUUGGGGAAGAAACAACAGGGAUGCUAUAGUUUUUGACCUCCCAAAACUCCGCUGUAAAAAUGGACAGAGCACAAGGACAGCAAAACCCAAAACUCAUGGGUGGCAGCCACGUGAAGCCAGGUGGCCAGGUGUCCCCAGCAUUCGAGCAGGGGGACACAAAUCGUCAGCGGCUGCAAGACCCACACGGCAUCAGCAACAGCAGGAGAGGACGGGGAGGGGAGUCAGCGGGACCCUGACGGUCCUGAGCACUGGAGGACCCCCCCAGUCACCUACAGGUCCUCCAGGGCCAGCCUGGGGGUCCCGUCAGAGAGCAGGAGCCAAACCCGGGGUCGGGGGCUUCCCCUGGCAGCGCGAGGGAAGGCAGCAGUCAGCACAGCGGGGCUGGAGCCGCCUGGGCCCGGGAACUCCUGAAUUAGCCAGAGGAACCUGCCUCCAGGACCAUGGCCCAGACUGGGAGGACACUGGCGGGGAGGCGUCCAGAGGGCCCAGCAUGGGAACAGCGGCAGGACGACCCAGGGGGCCAAGAAGAGGGACGGUUUAUGGCCUACCUCCCCUCCCAAAACAUUCAGAAAAUCUCAUCCCACUGGGCAGACAGGAGCAGCAGAAAGACACUGCACAGAGACACUGCACAGAGAGGGUGGGGAGCGGAACAGCAGCCCCACAGCCCGGAAGAUGGGCCGGAGAGACACACCCUCCAGACAGGGAAGAGCUGGAGGUUUCCUAUUUCCAAAUGAGCUGCUGGUUCACUUUGUUUUAUUUACUUCUCUUUUGAUGCUUACCUCCCCAGGACUUCUUUAUCUUACGACUGGAAGUUUGUACGCAUUGACCCCCUUCAGCCUCUGGCACCUGCCAAUCUGUUCUCUGCAUCUAUGAGUUUGGUUCUUUAAGAUUCCACAUAUAACU